rnacentral:lncRNA from 1 species
UCACAGUCGAUAAACUUUUUGCUUAGGUAAAUUGCAUGCUCUUUUCGACAAGACUAGUCAUGCUGACCCAAUACGCCUCAUAGACCCCUUGAGGGCUGUCAAGUACCAGAUUAACAGUUGUUUCUUCCACGGGAGGCAUUAGAAUCGGAGGUUCCUGCUACUUAUUUUCCUUUCCAUGCCCCUUGGCAGUCACCAUUCCACCUGACCAUUUGAUUUCUUUUCUCUUUUAUUUGUUUUUGGUUCAGGCGUUUCUA